CCUACGGGAGGCAGCAGUGAGGAAUAUUGGUCAAUGGUCGGAAGACUGAACCAGCCAAGCCGCGUGAGGGAUGAAGGUACUGUGUAUCGUAAACCUCUUUUGUCAGGGAAAAAAGGUGGCGACGUGUCACCGUAUCAAUGUACCUUAAGAAAAAGCAUCGGCUAACUCCGUGCCAGCAGCCGCGGUAAUACGGAGGAUGCGCGCGUUAUCCGGAUUUAUUGGGUUUAAAGGGUGCGCAGGCGGUCUUGUAAGUCAGCGGUGAAAUCGCGGGGCUCAACCCGAGACUGGCCGUUGAAACUGGCAGACUUGAGUUUGAUAGAGGUAGGCGGAAUGCGUGGUGUAGCGGUGAAAUGCAUAGAUAUCGCGCAGAACUCCGAUUGCGAAGGCAGCUUGCUGGCCCAACACUGACGCUGAGGCACGAAAGCGUGGGUAUCAAACAGGAUUAGAUACCCCGGUAGUC
rnacentral:rRNA from 1 species